CCGGGAACAGCCCAGCUUGAAAAUCGGAUUGCUUUGCUAUCCGAAUUGUAGUCU
rnacentral:rRNA from 1 species